rnacentral:rRNA from 1 species
UACGUAGGGUGCGAGCGUUGUCCGGAAUUAUUGGGCGUAAAGGGCUCGUAGGCGGUCUGUUGCGUCAGGAGUGAAAACUCGGGGCUUAACCCCGAGCCUGCUUCUGAUACGGGCAGACUAGAGGUAUGCAGGGGGAGAACGGAAUUCCUGGUGUAGCGGUGAAAUGCGCAGAUAUCAGGAGGAACACCGGUGGCGAAGGCGGUUCUCUGGGCAUUACCUGACGCUGAGGAGCGAAAGUGUGGGGGAGCGAACAGG